CGUGCAGCCGGAGAGGCAAGUCAGAUGUGAAAUCCUUGGGCUUAACCCAGGAACUGCAUUUGAAACUGUCUCCCUUGAGUGUCGGAGAGGUAACCGGAAUUCCUAGUGUAGCGGUGAAAUGCGUAGAUAUUAGGAAGAACAUCAGUGGCGAAGGCGGGUUACUGGACGACAACUGACGGUGAGGCGCGAAAGCGUGGGGAGCAAACA
rnacentral:rRNA from 1 species